CAUCAACUGGAGGACCGAACCCACUAACGUUGCAAAGUUAGGGGAUGACCUGUGGCUGGGGGUGAAAGGCCAAUCAAACUCGGAGAUAGCUGGUUCUCCCCGAAAGCUAUUUAGGUAGCGCCUCGGACGAAUACUACUGGGGGUAGAGCACUGUUUGGGCUAGGGGGUCAUCCCGACUUACCAACCCCAUGCAAACUCCGAAUACCAGUAAGUACUAUCCGGGAGACACACGGCGGGUGCUAACGUCCGUCGUGAAGAGGGAAACAACCCAGACCGCCGGCUAAGGUCCCAAAGUUCUGGUUAAGUGGGAAACGAUGUGGGAAGGCUCAGACAGCUAGGAUGUUGGCUUAGAAGCAGCCAUCAUUUAAAGAAAGCGUAAUAGCUCACUAGUCGAGUCGGCCUGCGCGGAAGAUGUAACGGGGCUCAAACCAGGCACCGAAGCCGCGGAUUCACACUUAUGUGUGAGUGGUAGGGGAGCGUUCUGUAAGUCUGCGAAGGUGUAUCGAGAGGUAUGCUGGAGAUAUCAGAAGUGCGAAUGCUGACGUAAGUAACGAUAAAGGGGGUGAAAAGCCUCCUCGCCGGAAGACCAAGGGUUCCUGUCCAACGUUAAUCGGGGCAGGGUGAGUCGACCCCUAAGGCGAGGCCGAAAGGCGUAGUCGAUGGGAAGCAGGUUAAUAUUCCUGCACGACUUGUAAUUGCGAUGGGGGGACGGAGAAGGCUAGGUGGGCCAGGCGACGGUUGUCCUGGUGAAAGUGCGUAGGCGGUACCUUUAGGUAAAUCCGG
rnacentral:rRNA from 1 species